rfam:Myotis lucifugus cont2.36992, whole genome shotgun sequence.
GGUGGUUCUUGGGUGACUCACCCUGGAAUUGGGCUCCCUCCUUUCUGGUUCCGGGGUGCAUCACCCGAGAACCGCA